rnacentral:rRNA from 1 species
AUACGAAGGGGGCAAGCGUUGUUCGGAAUAACUGGGCGUAAAGCGCACGUAGGCGGAAUGUUAAGUUAGAGGUGAAAUCCCAGGGCUCAACCCUGGAACGGCCUUUAAUACUGGCAAUCUAGAGACCGAGAGAGGUGAGUGGAAUUCCGAGUGUAGAGGUGAAAUUCGUAGAUAUUAGGAGGAACACCAGUGGCGAAGGCGGCUCACUGGCUCGGUACUGACGCUCAGGUGCGAAGGCGUGGGGAGCAAACAGGAUUAGAAACCCUAGUAGUCC